GGGAGGUAGUGACAAUAAAUAACAAUACAGGGUCCUUUUGGGUCCUGUAAUUGGAAUGAGUACAAUUUAAAUCCCUUAACGAGGAACAAUUGGAGGGCAAGUCUGGUGCCAGCAGCCGCGGUAAUUCCAGCUCCAAUAGCGUAUAUUAAAGUUGUUGCAGUUAAAAAGCUCGUAGUUGAAUUUCGGUGUUCUACCGUUGGUCGGGCAAUAGUCUGUACUGGCGUGUGGAAUUUCUACCUUCUGGGGAACCAUCAUGUUAUUAAUUUAGCGUGGUGGGAAACCAGGACCCUUACCUUGAAAAAUUAGAGUGUUCAAAGCAGGCUUACGUCUGAAUACAUUAGCAUGGAAUAAUAAAAUAGGACGGUGGUCCUGUUUUGUUGGUUUCUGAAUCACCGUAAUGAUUAAUAGGGAUAGUUGGG
rnacentral:rRNA from 1 species